rnacentral:rRNA from 1 species
UAGGGAAUCUUCGGCAAUGGGGGGAACCCUGACCGAGCAACGCCGCGUGAGUGAAGAAGGUUUUCGGAUCGUAAAGCUCUGUUGUUAAGGAAGAACGAGUGUGAGAAUGGAAAGUUCAUGCUGUGACGGUACUUAACCAGAAAGGGACGGCUAACUACGUGCCAGCAGCCGCGGUAAUACGUAGGUCCCGAGCGUUGUCCGGAUUUAUUGGGCGUAAAGCGAGCGCAGGCGGUUAGAAAAGUCUGAAGUGAAAGGCAGUGGCUCAACCAUUGUAGGCUUUGGAAACUGUUUACUUGAGUGCAGAAGGGGAGAGUGGAAUUCCAUGUGUAGCGGUGAAAUGCGUAGAUAUAUGGAGGAACACCGGUGGCGAAAGCGGCUCUCUGGUCUGUAACUGACGCUGAGGCUCGAAAGCGUGGGGAGCGAACAGG